UACGUAGGGUGCGAGCGUUGUCCGGAAUUAUUGGGCGUAAAGAGCUCGUAGGCGGUGUGUCACGUCGGCCGUGAAAACCUGCAGCUUAACUGUGGGCGUGCGGUCGAUACGGGCAUCACUGGAGUUCGGCAGGGGAGACUGGAAUUCCUGGUGUAGCGGUGAAAUGCGCAGAUAUCAGGAGGAACACCGGUGGCGAAGGCGGCUCUCUGGGACGGUACUGACGCUGAGACGCGAAAGCGUGGGGAGCGAACAGG
rnacentral:rRNA from 1 species